UUUUUUUCUUCAACACCAAACGACUCCUAAAUGAGAGAAACCCUCGCCACCGUGGUUUGACCCACUCUCUCUCAUCGUCAUCGGCCAUUUUUGGCAAACCUACAGUGUACGAGUACAUUUUACAGAGGUGGUUCAACCAUUUGAGGCAAGCAUUUAAUGCUUUGCCUCUUCUCUCCACCAUAUCACAACCAAACGAGGUAUUAAUUCUCCCUUUCUUUGCUUUUUUGCUAUUUUCAACGGUCAUAAGACUGAGAAACCUUAAUGGGUUUUGUUGUAUUCGUUUGAAUCCACGAUUUUUAUUGGUUUAUGAAAAACCCCACGGAUUGACCAAUUCAGAGUCAAAUCCGACCCUUUAUUUGCUUGUAUGAUCAAUUCUCAGCCAUUGGAUGUGGUAUUGAGAGAUGCAAUUCUCAAAUUGUUAAACUCCCAUAUCGAAAAUGAUCUACGGUUUUGAGAUUUUAGGGUUCUAUCCAAUUCACAAUAUUACACAACCUCUGAGCAUACUGAAAUAUCAGAAAUAUACUCAAAAUAUCGAAUUACCUUGGAUUUCUAUUUUUGGGACCUUUAAUUAUUCGAUUUAGUUAAAGUUUAAAAUUUUAAUUGCUUUCCUUGUGUGUGGUUGAGUUCGGGUGGAGAAGAAAGGAUUCUUCAAGUCCAUUCUCGACGUUGGCUGCACUCAUAAAAGACACUAAUCCUUGCACUAGUGGAGCUCAAGAGUGGGCUUCAGAGUUGUUUGGAGAAUUCAGGAGACGUGCAUUUGUGGUUGAUGGGAGCUUGUACCAAUGGAGUUGAUUUCACUACUUUCAACUAAAGGGUUAGACUAGCCAAUGAUGGAGGAGUUAUGUACAAACCAGGCCAACAGAGCCUCUUCCUCUUACCUGGGCACAGUUCAAACAUCUCUUCCUUAAGAAGUUUAUUCCAACCAACAGGAGGAACAAGUUGAGGGGUCAGUUCGAGCACUUGCACCGGGAAGACAUACAUGACUGUCAUUGAGUAUGAGAUGAGUUUAACUGAGAUAUCAUGUUAUGAUAUUUCUAGAAACUUUCUCAGCAGGUAUAAUGACGGGCAAGUCAAUGAUCUUGCUGGGUUUAGACUUACCCUUAUUAUUGUUUCUAUUUUGCACGGAUCCUUGUAUUAGUACUGCAAUAGAUCUGAGCCAUUUUGAUCUAGUUCGAGGUAGUAGUUGUGUUUUGCUAAGGUGAGCCAACUGCUUCUUGUUCGUGGUGGUGACUAUCAGUUUACUUUUCUUUGAUUUCUCUGUUGUCGGGGAUACCCCUUAGUUAUACUCAGGUACUCCUAGAUGCUACUUGACAUUACUACUGGGUUUUGAGUAUAUUCAGACUGUUAUUUUCUAGCUUUUCGCUUGAUGAUGAUA